GAACCUGACCAACAGUACUGCCGAGUCGUCUGAGGUGACAUGUCUUAACAACGCCAUCUUAAGCGCUGACCUGGAGGAGGUGUAUGCUUUUAUUUUGGCGAUAUGCCUGAUUGGAAUUCUGUCCUGUUUUGAGAGGCGGAAGGAUACUUGCCGAUGUUUUGGAGGGAAACUAGGAUGCCUUAUACCAGUGAACUUAUUGGACGGAGAUCAGGAUAGGCUGGCAUACGCUGCUGCGUUUGGCUGUACGACUUCCACUAUCAUCACUAUCCUCACGACAGUGGCUCAUACCACACAGUGGUCAGCGCUGGUCUUCUCUUUAGUGGUGAUACUAUCGUCCAUUGCGGUCGGGCUUACAUAUUACCCCCUGUUUGUAUGCCUGACACCAAGCUUCAGAUUCGUUCACUCUACGAUCGGCUUUGGCUACUCCACGUUAUGGUAAUGUAUCGGCUCUCCAUAAUAAUUCUCAUCUAUGGCCUUUAUUUAGGGAUAUGGGCAUAUAUCUGAUAAGUAUAGUGAAACUUUUAUGAUAUUAUGUCCAGGGGACUUAAGCUGCUUGGGCCAACACGGUCAUGAGCGCAAAAAGGAUAAGAUUUAUCUGUUAAAUCAGGUGUCUCUGCUAAAAACAGUAACACUGGGGGAAAUAUUGCAAAAAUAUAGAGAAACUUUUUACUGAGCAUCAGAGAAUUGUUAAGCUAUAUCAUUCAAAUGUGUAGACAUUAUUCUGUGGUGGAGCCUUACUUGUCAGUAAACGAGAAAUCCUCCUGCACCUUCCAUUCUUGUCAUAGAUCUCACCUAUGUAUAGAUUUAAUGAAACUUAAUAUGUAACCGUAGAUGUGGAUAUCAAAUUCAGCAAUGAUAAGAUUCACUCAUGCUAUCGAUAGGGCCAAUUGGUCUUUUUUGAUUGGAUCAUGCGUAUUUUUGCUCAAUUAUUUGCACGCAAUAAAAUCAUCUAGUUAUUUAUUUUGAUUGAUAUAGUUGUUUUUGUAUUUUUCCUUCAUUGCCUGAGUUAUGAUCUUUGCCUUAAAUUGAAUGAGCAAUAUUUUUUUCACUGAUUUAAUUGUGUUCCGCACCAUACAAGGCGUGUCAGAUCGGGAAAAUGCUAUAUUUGGAAGUAAACAGUCAAUCACGUGACAAAACGACACGUGCACCAUGUUACUAGGUAGACAAAUGUUUUUCGUUUAAACAUUAUAUCAAAUAUACAACAACAUCACAUCUACACAAAUUACAAUUGGUUAGAAAAACAAGCUUAAAGCUUUUAUUAAUUAAUUUCCCAUUUACUUGGACACCUUGUUAUCAUAUGAAUUAUAACAAAAGUUGAUCAUUUUACAUAAAUAAAUGCACAUAUACAUGUGGUGAUUAGAAUUUAUCAUAGACAUGGUUGCUGACACCAUUAAGUUGUUAAUAAAUAUAAAGAUGACAUUAUGGUACGAAGAAUAGGAUACCGUACAAUAACUUUCAGCACACAAUAUUAACUCAAACAUUUACUAACAUAGAUACAUAUCAUUUUCUACCGUCAAGAAUGUAGUGUUAUGCUUUAAAGCACGUGAUUACGAAUGGACUGCAAAAGGAAGUUGUA